rnacentral:rRNA from 1 species
CGGGUAGCGGAACACGUACACAACCUUCCUUUAAGUGGGGGAUAGCCCAGAGAAAUUUGGAUUAAUACCCCGUAAGAUUAUGAGAUGGCAUCAUUUUAUAAUUAAAGCUGAGGCGCUUGGAGAUGGGUGUGCGGCUGAUUAGGUAGUUGGUCGGGGUAACGGCCCACCAAGCCUACGAUCAGUAACUGGUGUGAGAGCACGACCAGUCACACGGGCACUGAGACACGGGCCCG